UAACAUAGUCAGUUCCCCAAGCUUUUUAAUGGUGAACCAGCUAUUUUAUGGGAGACUGCCAAUUACAUGAUUUCUGUGAAAUCCCUGAAAUUGUGUAUUUGGUAGGUCCCUACUCCAGCGAUACAGUCCAUUCAUCAGUCUAUUUUUAAAACAGUUGUUAGGUUUUGUAGUACAAUGUAAAGGGCUAAUUUUAUCCCUGGUAUGAAGGGAACGUCACUGAAGGAAAUAAUGAUAUAUGUGUGUAAAAAUAUGCACCAUGCCUUGUCACUGCAUCGCGCAAGUAGAGUUGCUUCUGACUGACAUCUAUGUGAGAUAAGGCCCCAUGGCUGUAAAACAUGAAAAUUUUCUUAGCAUCACUGUGAAGAACAUGCAAAACUUUAAACUGGGGUUAUAAAAAUUUGGUUCUCAUUAAUUUAAGGUGUUGAGUACCCUUGUUUGACUUCAAUGGAAAUACAAUGGGAAACAGAGUAAAUGCUUUAUUCUAAGCAAUACAUAUUUAGGAACUGAUCCCAUAACUGUACAUAAGUGAAGUGCUCUGUAUAUAUAUAACUAAUUCCAGUAUCUCAAAUGGUGUGUCUAUUUAAAGCUACUGUUUCACUCUAUACUUACCCAAAAGGAAGUAAAUUGUGGUUACUAUUUAUCCACUAUUCUUAAAUAUAAUUAUCUCUCUUCAUUUUUAUAGGAAAAAUGGAGUUUAGUACCUGCUCUCGACACUUGAUGCACAUUUGGCAGGAGGCCAAGGUGAAUCAGAAUAAACAGCCAGAAGAAAAUGCCAAAUACAAGAAAAUAACAGCAACUUAAUAUGAUUUAAUACCAAUAAAGUGGUUAAGAUGAAGUUUCUUAAACGCUGUAGUGAAAUAUGGUUAACAUGGACUAUUGAGAAACACCUCCAGUUUUGUAUGUUUUCUGAAUGGAGUAUAUGGAAAAUAAAUAGAAAUGUUUGGUCUUA